rnacentral:rRNA from 1 species
UACGAAGGUGGCAAGCGUUGUUCGGAUUUACUGGGCGUACAGGGAGCGUAGGCGGUUGGGUAAGCCCUCCGUGAAAUCUCCGGGCCUAACCCGGAAAGUGCGGAGGGGACUGCUCGGCUAGAGGAUGGGAGAGGAGAGCGGAAUUCCUGGUGUAGCGGUGAAAUGCGUAGAUAUCAGGAGGAACACCGGCGGUGUAGACGGCUCUCUGGACCGUAACUGACGCUGAGAUACGAAAGCGUGGGUAGCAAACAGG